UACGAAGGUCCCAAGCGUUAUCCGGAUUUAUUGGGUUUAAAGGGUGCGUAGGUGGGUUGGUAAGUCAGUGGUGAAAUCUCCAGGCUUAACUUGGAAACUGCCAUUGAUACUAUCAAUCUUGAAUACCGUGGAGGUCAGCGGAAUAUGUCAUGUAGCGGUGAAAUGCUUAGAUAUGACAUAGAACACCAAUUGCGAAGGCAGCUGGCUACACGAAUAUUGACACUGAUGCGCGAAAGCGUGGGGAUCAAACAGG
rnacentral:rRNA from 1 species